AGAUGAUUUGUACCAAAGACGAAGGAAACAAAAACAAACAACCGCAAAUUAAUUCAAAAAGCGUAUGAGCCAGCAAAAAAACUGACCCUUGACUGAGCUUUAUCCGGAUCAUCUAGACAGCUGCCAAGAAUAUCAGCAAGCUCACGAUCUUUGUCAUAAUUCUUCUCAUCUUCUCUACCUCUAAAUCCUCUACUAGGAGAAAAGCCC
rnacentral:lncRNA from 1 species